rnacentral:sRNA from 1 species
GCGUGGGAAUCUGCUG